ACAGUUGGUCCUUAUCCCUCAUACCGUUAGAUCCCCACCGUUAACUCUUAUUUCAUUAAAUUAAUAUAAGGGCAAAUUGGUCUUUUCACGUGUGCCCUAGAAUCAUUGGUGGGGAUUGGACUUAUUUCGUAUAAAUUGUUCAACUAAGGGUGUAUUUUGUUUAUUUUAUAAACAUAAAUGACUUAGGGCUUUUUUAACCCCGUCUCCAUUGAUCGAUAUAGAGGAGGGAAAUAUGAACAAGGGCAGAGAGAAACACAAGCCAACAAACAUGCAUCUUUGGCGGUUCACCGGUCGAUUGAAGGGAAAAGGAAUUCGGUGGCAAAACCGAUGGCUUUGUGGACAAAUUCAAUCACAAAGAGGAGGGAGCAAAACAUACCAAUGGUUCGGUGGUUUCAAGGGUAGAGGAAAAACAUUGACACACUCACAGUGUGGUUAGUUGUCGGAACAGAAGAGGGCGGAGGGAGGAAAUCGGUAAGCAGAAAGGGACACAAAGGUUGCUGAGUGGUUAAAUUGGUGCCAAUCGAUGUCGACUGAGGAAGCUUCUCCAGAUUCUUCGAGAUUGAAGGAAUGAAUGGAAGAAACCGUGAAGCUUCUUCCUGCUCCGAUGGUGAUGUGAGAAGGGGAAAAGGGAGAAUCAUUCUGGAGCGACGCGGGCAGCAGUCGGUGGUGUUGGCGACUCUUAAUCGAUCGCGAGGAGGUAUCAUUGUCUUGAGGCCAUCGAAGGUUGCGGAGGAUGAAGAAGAAUUCAUUGGGUGUUUAGGUUUGCUGUGAAGAGGGCACACGUGAAAAGACCAAUUUGUCCUUAUAUUAUUUUAAUGAAAUAAGAGUUAACGGUGGGGUUCUAACCA